rnacentral:rRNA from 1 species
CUCCUACGGGAGGCAGCAGUCGAGAAUUUUUCUCAAUGGGGGAAACCCUGAAGGAGCGACGCCGCGUGGAGGAUGAAGGCUUUCGGGUUGUAAACUCCUGUCAUUUGAGAACAAGUGUGGGCAAGUAACUACUGCCUACUUGAUAGUAUCAGAAGAGGAAGAGACGGCUAACUCUGUGCCAGCAGCCGCGGUAAUACAGAGGUCUCAAGCGUUGUUCGGAUUCAUUGGGCGUAAAGGGUGCGUAGGUGGCGCUGUAAGUCGGGUGUGAAAUUUCGGAGCUUAACUCCGAAACAGCAUUCGAUACUGCGGUGCUUGAGGACUGGAGAGGAGACUGGAAUUUACGGUGUAGCAGUGAAAUGCGUAGAGAUCGUAAGGAAGACCAGUGGCGAAGGCGGGUCUCUUGGACAGUUCCUGACACUGAGGGACCGAAGGCCAGGGGAGCAAACGGGAUUAGAUACCCCGGUAGUCCUGGCAGUAAACGGUGCACGUUUGGUGGGGGGAAUUCGACCCCUUCCCGCCCGAAGUAACGCGUUAAACGUCCCGCUUGGGAAGUACGGUCCCAAAAUUAAACCUCAAAGAAAUUGCGGGGGGCCCGCCCAAGCGGUGAAGUAUGGGGCUUAAUUCGAUGCAACGCGAAAGACCUUUACCUGCCCUUGACAAGGCAUUCUUUAAACUGGUAAAAGCCAGUGAGUGUCGAAAAGACACAAUUUGCACAGGUGCUGCAUGGCUGUCGUCAGCUCGUGUCGUAAAAUGUUGGGUUAAGUCCCGCAACGAGCGCAACCCCUUGUGAACUGUUGCCACUCCCCUUUAUUGGGAAGCCACUCUGUUCAGACUGCCCUGUGAAACGGGGAGGAAGGUGGGGACGACGUCAAGUCAGUAUGGCCCUUACGGCCAGGGCUGCACACGUACUACAAUGCCCAGUACAGAACGAUCCGAGACCGCAAGGUGGAGGAAAUCUAUCAAAACUGGGCCCAGUUCGGAUUGGAGUCUGCAACUCGACUCCAUGAAGCCGGAAUCGCUAGUAAUGCCGUAUCAGCUACGACGGCGUGAAUACGUUCCCGGGCCUUGUACACACCGCC